rnacentral:rRNA from 1 species
UACGGAGGGUGCAAGCGUUAAUCGGAAUUACUGGGCGUAAAGCGUGCGCAGGCGGUUUGUUAAGUCCGUUGUGAAAGCCCCGAGCUCAACUUGGGAAUUGCAGUGGAUACUGGCAGGCUGGAGUACGGUAGAGGAAGGUGGAAUUCCCGGUGUAGCAGUGAAAUGCGCAGAUAUCAGGAAGAACACCCGUGGCUAAGGCGGCUCUCUAGUACGGUACUGACGCUGAGACGCGAAAGCGUGGGGAGCGAACAGG